rnacentral:rRNA from 1 species
AUUGAACGCUGGCGGCAGGCCUAACACAUGCAAGUCGAACGAGUGGCGGACGGGUGAGUAAUGUCUGGGACACUGCCUGAUGGAGGGGGAUAACUACUGGAAACGGUAGCUAAUACCGCAUACCAUCGGAUUUGCCCAGAUGGGAUUAGCUAGUCGGUGGGGUAAAGGCUCACCUGGGCGACGAUCCCUAGCGGGUCUGAGAGGAUGACCAGCCACCCUGGAACGGGGACACGGUCCAGACGCCUACGGGAGGAAGCAGUGGGGAAUAUUGCACAAGGGGCGCAAGCCUGAUGCAGCCAUGCCGCGUGUAUGAAGAAGGCCUUCGGGUUGUAAAGUACUUUCAUAGGGGAGGCGUUACCCGCAGAAGAAGCACCGGCUAACUCCGUGCCAGCAGCCGCGGUAAUAC